rnacentral:misc_RNA from 1 species
CGAAUCGUGACAUGAAGAUACCACGUAAUCUUUUUAAACCUGUAAAUGCUACAUCUAGUUUCUUUCUUGCUGGACUUGUCAGGGACAGACGUAUAGCAAACGAAAAUGUUGGUAGUAUUAUGUUUGAUUGCUGUUGUUCUACCAUGGACCCAAGUUGAAGGCAGGAAAGCCGGUUGGGCUGACGCAACACAACCUGGAGACGAAUAUCUCUAUGGUUCGAUCCAGAAUGGCGGUCACGAUCUGGGGAUACAAUAUACCUUCACCUCACGAUUCUCUCGGAUCUGUUGCGAGGGCCUAACUUGCGAAAAUAACUGGCGAGGAUGUUAUUUUUAUGACAUUGGAUGUGGACAAAGCGUUAACUCAAGACCAAUUCAAGCAAGAGCCUUGCGUUGGGAACUAAGAGAUGUGGAACCUGGAAUGAGGUGCUUCGACACCCGAGGUGUCGGUGCCUUCUACAGUUAUACAGCUUCGGUUGUUCCUAUCGACUGAUCGUUUUGUUAGCAGCUUCUGUAUCUCAUUUUCCGUAUUACGAACAAAGAAGUAUAUUUUCAAAAUCUUACAUUCUCGUUGUUGAAAAGCCAAACCGGUGAUCGCAUACUUUACUGUAGUUCUGGGCAAGAAGACUUUUGUAUUAUCUGCUUAUAACUAGAAAAAAGCAAAUCUUGAACUUAUUUUGUGCAACAUUUCAUCAGAUCUGAACAUCAGCAAACGUAUUUCUAUGGAUAUUUUGUUAUGUCAGAAAUGUUAAAGUUUACCCACAAACUAAGAGGUUUCUCAAAAUACUUACAGCUACUAGUUAAUCAAAUUUAUAUUGAAAACUUAAUCUUGUAAAAUCAAACGUUGAAAAUAUUGCUGACCUUUAUUGAAGGUCGAAGGGAUUGCAACUUAUAAACAGAAAUUGUAAAACCUGCAGUUAACACCUAAUUGUGAAUAUAGUAAAGGAUGAAAUCAAGACAGUGCUUUCCUCUGGAAUCAAAAACAUGUACGUAUUGAAAGAGUUUGUAUGAUGAAUGUCUGUAAGCUUACAUUAAAUACAGCCAAUGUAUUCUGAAAUUCAUACUUUAAUGAAAUAUCUAAACCAA